GGUCAAGCGGGUAAGGGCGCACGGUGGAUGCCUUGGCAUCAAGGGCCGAAGAAGGGCGUGGCAAGACUGCGAUAAGCCUCGGUGAGCUGUCGAGCAAGCUUAGCCGGGGAUUCCCGAAUGGGGCAACCCACUCAGGUGAACCCUGAGUACCCUCAGCUGAA
rnacentral:rRNA from 1 species